rnacentral:lncRNA from 1 species
GUCUCAUCAGGCUAUUGCUCUACUGUGGGAGAAUCUCCAUCUCUGAAGGGAAGGGAGAAAGACAUCUGAAACCAAUGAUGUAGAUUCCGGGAGUGUCAUAUGUGUUAAUAUGUUUCAAGGGAUCGAACUUGGGUCCCUGUGCUUGCAAGGCAGGUGGCAGAACCACUGAGCUAAAUCCCCGACCUGAGUUAACCAACCUAAUGCAC